rnacentral:rRNA from 1 species
UAGGGAAUUUUCCACAAUGGGCGAAAGCCUGAUGGAGCAACGCCGCGUGCAGGAUGAAGGUCUUCGGAUUGUAAACUGCUUUUAUCUGUGACGAAUAUGACGGUAGCAGAUGAAUAAGGAUCGGCUAACUCCGUGCCAGCAGCCGCGGUCAUACGGGGGAUCCAAGCGUUAUCCGGAAUUACUGGGCGUAAAGAGUUGCGUAGGUGGCAUAGAAAGCGAGCAGUGAAAGCACCCCGCUCAACGGGGUAAACAUUGCUUGAACUACUAAGCUAGAGGAUGAGAGAGGUAGAUGGAAUUCCUAGUGUAGGGGUAAUAUCCGUUGAUAUUAGGAGGAACACCGAUGGCGUAAGCAGUCUACUGGCUCAUUUCUGACACUCAGGCACGAAAGCAUGGGGAGCAAACAGGAUUAGAUACCCCCGUAGUCC